AGUAACGCGCACGGGCCUCUGUUUGGUUCCAGCAGAAACGAAAGCCCGGAAGGCGGAUUCUGAAGGCAGAGAGUGCUGAGAAGACACGGAGGCCCUUGAGUGGCGUGGGGAGGAGAAUGGGGUGCAAGUAGGGGCAACUCAGGGUGGAGAGGCGCACUGGGGCUGGGGUGGGCUGAUUUUCCUUACAGGAGUGAGCGGAGUGUCUUCUGCUCUCCUGGGACUGGCUGCUCACAGCAGGUGGGUUGCAUCCUGGCUGCGCAUCAGGGACAUUCAGAGCAGCUCCCUACUCUGACCUGGGACUCCAACCUGAGGGAGCAGGUAAAGUUCGUCAUCAGGUCACGGGAGAGCUGAAUCAUGUUCUUGUGAUCCCAAUGGUUUCCCAAUUAUCCUCGGGACCAAGAGAACAUCGGGCGGGUGGAGAGGAUGAAGGGCAAGGUCUCUGGAAGUGGGAGAGAUAAGAGAUGCUGGCAGAGCGGGGGUUGGAUAAAGGAACAGUAAUUAUGAAGUAACUCUCAAAAGACAAACCACUGAGCCUAUGGAAGGAAGGAAGGGAAAGGGAAUGAUGGUGAUCCUCCCUACAGAGGCGCUGGGCUAGGAGUGUCCCUCUGUAGGAGCAGGUCCAUAGUGAUCGGGAAGGU